ensembl:snoRNA SNORA62 Small nucleolar RNA SNORA62/SNORA6 family
AUCGCACACUUUUAAAGCCUGGCACUAUUGUUGGUGUUUGGGUGUCGGACGUGUGCUAGAGCAACCCGGCCGGGUUUUCGCUAACACCAUGAGGGCUCCGGCCCCAUGACUGGGGUUAGAUAGUGACCACAGCCACACUA